AUGGUGGAUCAGCAUCCAAGGCAGAGUUGCUUCAGCCUCGAGGCAGGUCUCACUUCGGGCUCCUUUUAUAGGCCACAGAGUAUGGCAGACAUGUCAGCCUCCAGCCCUCAAGACCCCAGAAGGUCCCCCUCAGACAACACAUUGGGGCCCACUGGGAAGCAUCAUGUGGUUUACUGGCCAGGGAUGGGAGGGCUCUGGGGGUCUGGCCUUGUGGCCAUGGUUCCCCCAAUCCCAGCCCACACUGAGGGCCUGCGUGUGACCACGCUCACCUUGCCUCAGGUCUGGGAAGAUCCGAGGAAUCUCCUGGAGAAGCCAUCUAUGAUGUCAUUGGGGAAAUGCCAUCAGCAGGACUGUAUGAGGAAAUCGUGGAGGCUGAGGCCAUGCCCCAAGGGGAGGUGUCUAACCUCCUGGAGGGACAGUCUACACGUGAGGAGGGAGGAGGCAGCAGACCUCUUUCUCAUGGAUAUGACGAGGCUGCCUUUCCGCUGGAGGAGAUGACACCGUGAAGCACCUGAGGCUCGCUCCUGCUGCCCAGAAGUGUGUUGGCGAGCUCCCAAGCCAGAACCUUCUUCUUUCUUCUUAAUCGAAUCCAGAGUACCUUUUAGAUGUCCUACUUGUGCAGUCGCCGUGGAUAUUCAGAUUUGUCCUCACCUUCCAACCGGUGUCCCUUUAAUUUCUCUUUCUGUGCCUUCUUUCGUGGGCUGUGACUUUUGUCCCGUGUUGAACAGAGGUGGCCUUGUCUCAUUCAUGGACUCAAAGCAAACCUGCUCCAUGUUUCAUUUAACUAUUAAAUAUAAUAUUUGAUGCUUGGUUUUGUAGAUGCUAUUUAUCAGAUCAAGGAAAACCCAGCCUAUCCCUAGUCUGUUAAGGGUUUUACUUUUUAUCAUAAGUGUUGACUUUUAUCAAAUUCUUUUUUGCAUCUAUUAAGAUGAUAUAUGAUUGAUUUCAUAUGUUAAAUUAACCUUGGGUUAAACAAAUCUAACUUUGUCAUGAUAUAUUAUUCUUUUUAUAUUUCACAGGAAUUAGUUUGGUAAUAUGUUGGGUCACUGUUUAAAACAGAAAUUGAUAUCAUUUUUUUCUUUUGUUGUAAUAUUUUUGUUUAAUUUUUGGUAUGAAGAUUAUUCAGGUCUCAUAAGAGUUAGAACGUAUUCUCUCUUUAAAAAAAUAUUUGCUCAUUUAUACUCCCACAACAGUGUAAAAGCAUUUCUAUUUCUCCACAUCCUCUCCAGCAUCUGCUGUCUCCAGAUUUUUUAAUGAUCGCCAUUCUAACUGGCAUGAGAUGGUAUCUCAUUGUGGUUUUGAUUUGCAUUUCUCUAGUGACCAGUGAUGAGCUUUUUUUCAUGUUUUUUGGCCACAUAAAUGUCUUCUUUUGAGAAGUGUCUGUUCAUAUCUUUCACCCACUUUUUGAUGGGGUUGUUUGCCUUUUUCUUGUAAAUUUGUUUAAGUUCCUUGUAGAUUCUGGUUAUUAGCCCUUUGUCAGAUGGAUAGAUUGAAAAAAUUUUCUCCCAUUCUGUAGGUGGCCUGUUCAUUCUGAUUACCCAUUAAUGAUAGACUGGAUAGAGAAAGUCUGGCACAUAUACACCAUGGAAUACUAUGCAGCCAUAAAAAGGAUGAGUUCAUCAUGUCCUUUGCAGGGACAUGGAUGAAGCUGGAAAUCAUCAUUCUCAGCAAACUAACAUAGGAACAGAAAACCAAACACUGCAUGUUCUCACUCAUAAGUGGGAGUCAAACAGUGAGAACACAUGGACACAGGGAGGGGAACAUCACACAUGGGGCGUUGGGGGAGGGGGUUAGGGGAGGGAUAGCAUUAGGAGAAAUACCUAAUGUAGAUAAUGGGUUGAUGGGUGCAGCAAACCACCGUGGCAUGUGGAUACCUAUGUAACAAACCUGCACUUACUACACUUGUAUUCCAGAACUUCAAGUAAAAUAAAAAAAAACAUAAAAAACA
rnacentral:lncRNA from 13 species